rnacentral:rRNA from 1 species
UACGGAGGAUGCGAGCGUUAUCCGGAUUUAUUGGGCUUAAAGGGUGCGCAGGCGGUCUGUUAAGUCAGCGGUCAAAGCCCGGGGCUCAACCCCGGCCCGCCGUUGAAACUGGCAGUCUCGAGUUGGAGAGAAGUAUGCGGAAUGCGCGGUGUAGCGGUGAAAUGCAUAGAUAUCGCGCAGAACUCCGAUUGCGAAGGCAGCAUGCCGGCUCCACACUGACGCUGAGGCACGAAAGCGUGGGUAUCGAACAGG